GACGAACGCUGGCGGCGUGCCUCAUACAUGCAAGUGGAGCGACGAACCAGGGCUUGCCCUGGAGCAAAGCCGCGAACGGGUGAGUAACACGUGGGUAACCUGCCCCGAAGACCGGGACAACCCGAGGAAACUCGGGCUAAUACCGGAUGUGCUCGCCGCGCUUAAGCGCGGCGCGUAAAGGAAGCUUCGGCCUCCGCUUUGGGAGGGGCUCGCGGCCCAUUAGCUUGUUGGUGAGGUAACGGCUCACCAAGGCUGCGAUGGGUAGCUGGUCUAAGAGGACGGUCAGCCACACUGGGACUGAGACACGGCCCAGACUCCUACGGGAGGCAGCAGUAGGGAAUCUUGCGCAAUGCGCGAAAGCGUGACGCAGCAACGCCG
rnacentral:rRNA from 1 species